CUCUAGGUGGCGCACGGGUGAGUAACACGUGAGUAACCUGCCCCCGAGAGCGGGAUAGCCCUGGGAAACUGGGAUUAAUACCGCAUAGUAUCGAAAGAUUAAAGCAGCAAUGCGCUUGGGGAUGGGCUCGCGGCCUAUUAGUUAGUUGGUGAGGUAACGGCUCACCAAGGCGAUGACGGGUAGCCGGUCUGAGAGGAUGUCCGGCCACACUGGAACUGAGACACGGUCCAGACACCUACGGGAGGCAGCAG
rnacentral:rRNA from 1 species